rnacentral:rRNA from 1 species
UACGUGCCAGCAGCCGCGGUAAUACGUAGGUGGCAAGCGUUAUCCGGAAUUAUUGGGCGUAAAGCGCGCGUAGGCGGUUUUUUAAGUCUGAUGUGAAAGCCCACGGCUCAACCGUGGAGGGUCAUUGGAAACUGGAAAACUUGAGUGCAGAAGAGGAAAGUGGAAUUCCAUGUGUAGCGGUGAAAUGCGCAGAGAUAUGGAGGAACACCAGUGGCGAAGGCGACUUUCUGGUCUGUAACUGACGCUGAUGUGCGAAAGCGUGGGGAUCAAACAGGAUUAGAUACCCUGGUAGUCCACGCCGUAAACGAUGAGUGCUAAUGUUUAGGGGGGUUUCCGCCCCUUAGUGCUGCAGCUAACGCAUUAAGCACUCCGCCCGGGGGAGUACGACCGCAAGGUUGAAACUCAAAGGAAUUGACGGGGACCCGCACAAGCGGUGGAGCAUGGGGGUUUAAUUCGAAGCAACGCGAAGAACCUUACCAAAUCUUGACAUCCUUUGACC